UAGAUACUCCCUCCGUCCCAAAAUUCUUGUCUUAGAUUUAUCUAAAUAUGAAUGUAUCUAGUCAUGUUUUAAUAUUUAGAUACAUUCAUUUCUAAACAAAUCUAAGACAAGAAUUUUGGGACGGAAGGAGUAUAAA
rnacentral:pre_miRNA from 1 species